CGCGCCAGCCCACUGCGGGCGGGGGCGCUCAUCCCGCUGGUGCUCCCCAGGCGAGGCGGCUCAGGGAGGUGCUGCGGUCUCUGCCUGCUGGUGGAAGCGUGAGGGGCACAGAGGGGGAAGCUGCGGAGAGCUUGGGCAGCUCACCUUCCCCCAGCCCCCAACGCCAAGAGCAGAGAGCAAACACUUUGCCAGAAUGGAAACAGAGAGUCAGUCACAGGAAGCGACACCACCGGUGUGCUAAUGAAGCGUGGGGCCCAGGAAGUGCUGCUCGGCUCUUCAUAGAGGAGAAGACACGUCUGCACCCCAGUUCCCUGGAUGCGCCGGGCGCGCUGUGGAGACUAAAUUCAAAGAGUGUGGGGACUUUGUUAGUUCUCUGUUGUAUCUCCAGUGCAUACAACAGUGCCUGGCACAAUAAAUACCUGCUGAAUGAAUGACAGACAGAUAUCCAAGGGGAGGAGAUGAGACCAUAAAAUAUGACCAAGAGAGACCUCUCCCAGCUCCUGGUGAGUGCUGGUUCGUGUGGCGUGAGGAGGGCUUCAAUUUAGAAAAGGUAAGAAACAGAGUUCUUGAGCUUUCUGGGCUGUGGAACAGUCUGUCUUUGUCGCAGGUAUACGUGGCUGAGCCCGGGUGAAGCCUGGCCGCACACAUCCCGGUUAGCAAUCAUGUCCCAUGCACACACAAUAAUGCCACAUUCCGGGGGGAGCUACAGCAAAUGAGAGAAAUGCCAUUUGGACAUUCUCCAGUGGCUGUCAAUAGGAAUUUCAGACACUAGAGCAAGAAUGAGUGUCAGAGUUGAAGAGACCCUUAGGUCCCACGGCUACUUAGCAGCAGGUAGAAUUAUAACACAGGCCUUGUCAUUCCCAUUCAGCUCUCUCCACAAUAGCACAAAUGAGCCAUCUUGCUUUUCCUCUCUAAUUUUAUGCCAUUCCAUUGGGUUUGAGAUCUGGAUCCCCAAACUACUGCUCUUUCCACAACAAAUUCCCCAGCAGAAGCAGCUGGAUAAUAAUCUCAGCAGGAUGGACUACUAAUCACUAAGUUUUACUCUGUAGUAUUUGUGCUUAAUGUUAAUAAUUAGAAUGGGAGACUCUCAAGACGGGGUCCAAAUUAGGCUUGUGCAUUUAAUAGCAGGCCUUGUUGCUUGUCAUCCUAGUUUGGAUCAUUUCAGCACCGAUUAAUUGACUUGUUAAUUAGAAUUUAGCAUUUCGGAGCCAGUGGGGACUUAGAGAUGGCUAGUUUACAGCACUUUUAAAUACUUUUUUUUAAAGCUAUCGCUGACCUGGAAGCCAAAUACCUUAAAAAAGAAAAAGGUGCUUUGUUGAACACCUGUGGGCUCCAUCUAAUGCCUAAGGAACCCUUUCCAGAUCUUCAAAGUGUAGUCUGAAGAUCACUGAUGUAGUUCAACAGUCUCCGUGUAGAGAUGGAAAAUGAAGCCAGGCAAGCAGCAUAGUUGAGAACAUGCACCUCCUGCCCCCUGGGCUGCCACGUGUCAGCACUUUAUGCUGCCUCCCAGUUUUGUUUUAGAUCCUCCACGAGAGGGCGAGCAGAACUUUCAAGCCCCUUCCAUCUCCUACCUGGUCAGCAGCGCUCUCAGCUCAAAGCCUCACUUCCUCUUUCAAGUAAGUUUCCUUGUGCAUUUGUCUUCAAUAAAGCUAAGACAUGAAGAUCUGGAGUGGAAACACACGUCAGAGAAACCAGGCGGUGUCUGAGUCUGAACGCAGGGGCCGGUCUAGCCAAGAGGAGAGACGCUGUCCUCAGCUCUGAGUGUGAUGGUACCAGCCACUCAGACUGUUCAAGUACUUCUCAUCACUCGGAUUUCAUGACUGUAAUCUGGCUUCCCAAAUCUGUGGAUCAUUUAUGUUCUCACUAUAAACGAGAACAUUUACAUUCUGGUUUUGACAUCAGCUUCUCAGAUGGCAAACGGAGGUCAUCCCAAAGAAACUACUCCCUCCUAUGGGUAUGUCUUCUGAGGACAGGGAGAUGUUCUUUGAAACAAGUGCCAGAGAGGUAAAGACGUAUGGUUAGCUCCACAUCGGGAUGUGGGCAAGCCUGGAACACAGAAGCCACUACCUUUCAAAGCUAUAAGUAUUCCAGUCUGUGAAUCUAGCAUUACCUCUGAUGGCUUAGGUUCACUUUGGGGACAACUCAAUGCCAAUGACAUCACAGAGGAAGAUAGGAGCAUGUUUAUGUGAUUCAUUUACAGUAGGUUUCAAAAUUAUUUGCUGGUAAAGGCUAUGCCAUGUUUACCUUCCUUUCUGCUCGCAGUGACACGAAGACCACGUCCUAACAGAUGCAGGCCAGGGGCUGGUAACCAGCGCGUUUGCACCCAGUGAGUUCGUGUUGGAUUUGCCCCCAAGUCAGGGAGUUGCCUGGCUGUGUGUGUCCUGCGGUGGGGGGACCAGCCAGUUAUGGUGGAGAGCUUCAGACAAACCGAGUGACCACAGGGAGAGGAUAUGUGGCUGAGAAAGGGGAGACUCACAGAGCGUCAUUCAAGAUGGAGGGCAAAGAAAUUAUUCUUUCUUCAGAACCGGGGUAGGAAAAACAAUGGAAGAGAAAAGCAUGCUCUUCUCCAUUCAGUAACUCAGACCCAAGACGCUGAGCUGGCUUUAUACUCCAUGAAACCACUACCUUAGGGUACACUGGUCUCUGCCAGAAAGCUACUUUGGAGCUAAUUCUUCUCUGUGCCUUAUGGCACACUGGGGUUGGGGUGCAGGUACCAAAGAGCCUGUUUGGCAUAGCGGAGAGGCACAGAUCUAAGGCCCAACAACACAAGGUGAGGGUUAGAGGGGAAACACGGGGCCCAGCUUUACAAAGUUUUUGUGCAUGUAUGUGUGUGCGUGCAUGUGUGUGCACACAUGCCUGCAUGUUUUGCAUCUUUUUAGCAAGCAUAGCCGGGAGGGAACCUACAGUGGGAUCGUAUUUCUUGGGUGACCCAUUACCAAGAAAGACCCAGUCCCUGUUACUUACCUAUUAAUUUUUUUCUCCCCAGCCCAUUUUAAAGACAGGAAGUGGCAGUGGGCCUGUGCAUGUGGGGAGCAGCCUAGGGUAGAGGAAAGGUGGAAAUCAAGCCCUCACUGCAGAAGCCAUUCUCAGCCAGGGCUGGGUCCUCCUUCAGAGCAGCCAGGAGGGUGCGGGCUGUUCCUCAGCAUUAUACUUUCCUAAGGAACCCUGGGGUGACCACAAAGUCCUUUCCUUCCCUUGAUGUUUUGAAUGUGCUUGUGCAGUUGGACAAGAGGUGCAGGAAGGAGGUCCAAGUUCAGUCCUGAGAUUCGAAAGCUCAGAUUUAGGUGACCUGCCAGGAAGCUAGUUUGGCCUGAAACUGGGGCCUCAACAGUCAUGUUAGAGACUCACUGAAUGGGACAAUUAAAAAAAGCCAAAACAGACAAACAAAUAAAUAACUUCCAGAAGGCAGGAACUAGAGAAGCCCAGAGGGAAAGUCCAGAAGAGUGCUCAGACAAGGGGAAUGAAUUUUACCCAGAGGCACUUCGUUUAAAAAAGAAAAAAAAAGCAAACAAAAAAGGAAGGACCUCCAAGCCUGCCUCUUUCUUAUCUUUCCAAAUUCAUCCUUUUUCAAAACCUCUAGCUUCACAGCUCCAUGACUGCAGAUUCUAAGAAGUGGGUGGCGCAAAGUUUGCACUGCAGGGGUGUAAAACAGGCCACCAGGCUGCCGGUCGCGGGAAGGAACCCCUGGCAGGGAAGUGUGUCCAGGCCCAGUUGCAAGCUGAGUUCUUGGCUUGCAGGUGAGCGUUGGGGGUGCCAGAACCCUUCUCAGUUUCAACAGACAACCAGUGACAUUCCCCCAGAGCGGAGACACAAUGAGGACAGCAGAGGUACAAGAGGCACGGGUCUUUAUUCUCAGUGCACGGCAGUAUUGGUUUCUGCUUAUCAGCAACAAGCUUUAUUGGUUCCCAAAAAAUUAUCCCUUUAUAUCUCUUCUUUAAAAACGCCUCUUCUAGGCUUCCCAUCUCAGUGGAACAACAUACUUGAAUCUCAGAUUUGCCAGUUUAUAGCAUUUCCCCCCUAAGAACCAUAUAAAUACAUGCAAAACAUUGUACAGAGAGCUUAAAUAAUAUCGAAAUGCAAGUACAGUUUGGGUGCACUGAUAAGCUGAACUGCAAAUUAUGGCAGCACACGCCGGGGUACACGUUGCUUGGAUGUCACCAUUUGUUUGUUUAUGUCAUGCAAACCACAACAGUCAAUCUUCUGUUUUUUUCUUUUUUAUACAAAAAUGUCAGUGCUUGUUAUAUUCAUUACUGGAAAAAAGAAAUGCAAAAUG